CGGGCAUUAAAUAUUCCACGGAGCGCCCUGCCAGGAUGAAUUCCAGAGGUUCAUGCCUCUCCUUGCUCUGUGCUUGCACUAAACUUGGCUUCUGCUUAGCUGACAGCAGUGCUUCUUUCUGGCUUUCAGAAAGAAUGUGCUCCUGUGCAUAUAAAAAAGAAGAUCUUUUUCUCAGUCCCUGUGCAAGCAGCAGGUAUUGCUCGUGAUUUGCAGUUCAUGGGCCUGAACAUGUUUGAUAGCUGCCAAACCUAGAGGAGUACAAAAAGAAAGGUCUCCUGGCAUUGCAGAGCCUGGAAGCAAGGGGAGACGAGCAAGUAGAAAGAGGGAGAAGUUGUUAUCUCUGCCUUGCACUCUGAAGUGCUUGUAGGGAAAAAAUAAUGUUCAACUCUACACAUCAUCAAAGUAAAUCAUAAAACAACACUAGAGCCCAGCGCUGAAAGAGCUCUGUAGUUAGCUUUGCCUUCUGGAGACCAAAAUCUAGGGGAAAAAAGAUAGAAAGACAGUAAUUUCACUAAUAACGUCUAAUAGAAUGGGAGAAGUUAUAUCUUGAAAAAAGAAAAAAAAAAAAGAAGAAAAAAAAAGGAAGAAAAAAGUCUCAGUGCUGCAGAAGAGGUACUGAGCAGCACUGGUGAGGGUGAGGCUGCACCUGGAGCACUGUGCCCAGUGCUGGGUACUCCAGGACGUGGGUCUACUGGAGAGAGUCCAGCGCAGGGACACCAAGAGGAUGAAAGGAGAGGCUGAGAGAGCUGGAACUGUUCAGCCUUGAGAAGAGGAAACCACCUUGUUUACUAAGAGGACUACCCUCCUGUGUAACACUCACCAGCCAGCAGUUCUUGUGCAAGCAAAGUAACCUGUAGGUCAGAAUCACUCUUCACAGGCAUGAGAUCAAGUUAAGGACAAACAACCCAAGAUUAUUCUUACCGAUGCUGAUAUGGCAGUGGCAAAUAUGUCUACUAAUCUUAAAAAAGAAUUGAAAAAUUUCCUGUUAUGUUUGUCAUUAGUGAUCUGUUUUGAAAACUGGCAAAGGACAGUAGGCACAAUUGUCACAUGUGAUCCAAACACAGGGAUGACUUGAUGCAAAAUAUUGUAAAAUUUGGAUCCUAGAUUUGGAAGAACUUGAAAACAAAACUUUGAUAAUAGAAUAUGGAGUAAGAUAAAUGACUUGAAGUUUUAAAAAUAUUUUGAGCUUUAAAAGUGACUUCUAGAUUUCCAGAAUGCUUUCAUCUGGUAUAUCCAUACCUUUGAAGGAAGAGAAUGUCCUCAUAGGGUAUUGCAAGGACAUCGUUCAUGCCAAGCACGUUCAUGUUAUUGUCAUCCUGAAAUGAUUUGGUUAACAUUAAUUCUUGUCUCAAUUCAGUCCA
rnacentral:lncRNA from 1 species